rnacentral:rRNA from 1 species
GAUGAACGCUAGCGGCAGGCCUAACACAUGCAAGUCGAGGGGUAGAGUUCUUCGGGACUUGAGACCGGCGCACGGGUGCGUAACGCGUAUGCAAUCUACCUUUUGCAGAGGGAUAGCCCAGAGAAAUUUGGAUUAAUACCUCAUAGUAUAGUACUUUGGCAUCAAGGAACUAUUAAAGUUCCAACGGUAAAGAUGAGUAUGCGUCCCAUUAGCUAGAUAGGUAAGGUAACGGCUUACCAUGGCAAUGAUGGGUAGGGGUCCUGAGAGGGAGAUCCCCACACUGGUACUGAGACACGGA